UGGAGGUAGUGACAAUAAAUCACAAUGCGGAACAAUGUUUUGCAAUUGGAUUGAGAACAACGUACAAACCUUAUCGAUAAACAAUUGGAGGGCAAGUCUGGUGCCAGCAGCCGCGGUAAUUCCAGCUCCAAUAGCGUAUAUUAACGUUGUUGCAGUUAAAAAGCUCGUAGUUGAAAUGAAGGGUAGUUGUGUAAUGAAUACAUUCGUGUAUUUUGUUAUUCAACUACCCUCCUUCUAAAUUCGAUAUAUGAGUAUUAAUUUACUUGUAUAUGGUUUUAGACGUUUACUGUGAGAAAAUUAGAGUGUUCAAAGCAGGCAUUUGCUUGAAUAUAUUAGCAUGGAAUAAUCAUGUAUGAUUUUCAUGAUAUAUUUGAUUGGUUUGGUUACAUGAGAAUAAGAUUAAAAGGGACAGUUGGGGGUAUUCAUAUGCAAUAGUCCGGAGGUGUAUAUUCGCGGAUUUUUGGCAGAUGAACGAAUGCACAAGCAAC
rnacentral:rRNA from 1 species